rnacentral:tmRNA from 1 species
GGUAAGCAUGCCGAAGGCUCGGCUUCGUUAAAACGGAAAUCUUAAAUUUAAAUGCAGACAAUCAUCGUCUCGCUUACGCUGCUUAAUUAGCGUAUGUCUUCCGUGCGGUUCCUAUCGCCGUGCGGCGGGCAUCAUUUGAGAUAGGGAACGGUCUGUUUGUUUUUGCCGCGGCAGGCAGGCUGUAUUUUGCGGCUCACGUUCCGUCGGGUUUGUUCGCCGAAACGACGGAAAAGGGAUAAAAGACGGACUAAGCAUGUAGAAAAUCCACUCAAAGCCGUUAAGACUCGGGUGCAAGUCCCGACUGGUCCACCA